rnacentral:rRNA from 1 species
GAGUUUGAUCCUGGCUCAGGAUGAACGCUGGCGGCGUGCUUAACACAUGCAAGUCGAGCGAAGCACUUAAGUUUGAUUCUUCGGAUGAAGACUUUUGUGACUGAGCGGCGGACGGGUGAGUAACGCGUGGGUAACCUGCCUCAUACAGGGGGAUAACAGUUAGAAAUGACUGCUAAUACCGCAUAAGCGCACAGUACCACAUGGUACGGUGCGAAAAACUCCGGUGGUAUGAGAUGGACCCGCGUCUGAUUAGCUAGUUGGUGGGGCAACGGCCUACCAAGGCGACGAUCAGUAGCCGAACUGAGAGGUUGAACGGCCACAUUGGGACUGAGAUACGGCCCAGACUCCUACGGGAGGCAGCAGUCGGGAAUAUUGCGCAAUGGAGGAAACUCUGACGCAGUGACGCCGCGUGCAGGAAGAAGGUUUUCGGAUUGUAAACUGCUUUAGACAGGGAAGAACAAAGACAGUACCUGUAGAAUAAGCUCCGGCUAACUACGUGCCAGCCGCCGCGGUAAUUC